GCACCUCAUAAAGCGGGUGCCGGGAUUGGCGUCCUGGAAUUGCAUACGGCGACAAUGGGCGCGUUAGCGUCUUUUUU
rnacentral:sRNA from 28 species